CGACUGAGCCACCCAGGUACCCCCCUUCCCUUUGUGUUUGUGUGUCCCCUUCAAAGCCAGUAUUUCCUUGUUGACUUUCUGUUUGGAUGAUCUUUCCAUUGAUUUAAGUGGGUUGUUAAAGGCCCCUACUAUUGUAUGACUAUCGGUUACUUUUUUUAAUGUGUUAUUGUUUUAUGUAUUGGGGUGCCCUCAUGUUGGGUGCACAGAAAGAUUUACGAUUGUUACAUCUUCUUGUUGAAUCGUCCCCUGAAUAUCUAACGUCCUUCUUUGUCUCUUGUUACGGCCUGUUUCCAAGUCUAUUUUGUCCAAUGUAAGUAUUGCUACCCUGGCUUUCUUUUCACAUCCAUUUGCAGGAUAAAUGCUUCUCCAUCCCGUCACUUUGAAUCUGCACACAUCUUCAGAUCUGAAAUGAGUCUCCUGGAGGAAGCAUACAGAUGGGUCUUGUUUUCUUAUCCAUUCCAUCACCCUAUGUCUUUUGAUUGGAAGCUUUAGUCCAUUUACAUUCAAAGAAUUAUUGACAGGCACACUCGGGGAUUCACCCAACCCCAGUCACGGCUCUCAGAAGAAACACGACUGAAUGGAUUGGAAGAUGGAUGGGUAAGUGCACUGCACAAAUUGCACGGAUUUGAUAAGCUAAGGCUACAGCAAAGCUCCUGGAGGUAAUUACCAAGAGAGACCUGUGUACCACAGUCACGGGCCUGCGUAAUGUGACAGGCAAAGGCCUUGCUCACAUUCGAGACUGUUCUAUGAAACUCUGUGUUUCAUUUGAUCACAAGCUGGCACGUAAUUUGGAAACAUGACCAAAUACGGUCUUCGACACGCCUUUCUGUCCUUUCUCCUUGUUUCCCUCCAUCUAAACCGGCAGGCAGGGGUGGGGAGAAGGAAAUGAACAGAUAAAAAAAAAAAAACCCACUAACGUAGAUUUUGCAGGCUGUCUCAUAGUUUCUAUGUGACUCCUUGUGACAGGAUGCACGGCUGUUGUAACCAUGGCUGUGUGACUCCAAGAGCCGCGCCCCAGGCCACGGGUCACACCGCGGACCUCCGGGCCCGGCCGAGCAUUCGCUGCCAGCUUCUCUUCCGUCUGAAAGUGCCAGUGUAAAUGGACCGCAGUCCCCUUCCUCAGCUCCUGAACGGCAGCCUGCCCUCCCAUUCAGCUGUCAUCGAGGUGCACGGUCCGUCGGGGUCCAUGCCAGGCCCCUGAACAGUUCUCUGCUGGUACGUAAACUUGUUUGAGUCACUGGGGGCAGAAACAGCAGACUCUUUCGUUGCUCAAGAGGUAGGAAGAGCCUGUGCGAUUAUCUUGGAUCUCUCAAUCCAACCUUGACGUUGUCAAAGGUGAAAAUUCUCCCCUUUCCCCCGAUGGGGCCAUAAUCGUCAUCAGCUGAUACUCUGGGGGCACUUACUAGACGCCAGGGAUGGUUCUAAACAUUCUAUGUGGAUCAGCUUACUUAGUCCUUCCCCAAAGCCUUAUGAAGCAGGACCAUUACACCUGUUCUACGGGCGAAGAAGCUGAGACACAGUGAGAUGUAAGUCACUUCGCUAGGGCCACACGGCAAAGAAGCACACGGGCUGGGAGGUGACCCCAGGACAGUCUAGUUCUAGAACCUGUUCUUUUUUUUUUUUUUUUUUUUUUAACGUUGAUUUAUUUAGAGAGAGAGAGAGAAUCCCAAGCAGGCUGCACACUGUCAGCACAGGGCCUGACGCAGGGCUCGAACUCACACACUGAGCUGAGGUCAAGAGUCGGACGCUCAGCCGACAGAGCCGCCCAGGCACCCCCAGAACCUGUACUUCUAUCCAGUGCUACUUUGACCCCCAUGGAAGCAACUUAUCCUACGUCCGUAGAAGACACCGGGCUGGGGAGACCCUCUUCUUGCUCCUCGGAGUGUGGUCUCCUGGGGGGGCUCCGAGCCAGCCCGGCUCAUGCCACCCUCGCAGCUUCAUGCUUUCGGAGCCUUGCGUCUUGACCUCCCUGCAGCCCAGCCAGAACCUGGCGUCUGGAAGCCACACCUCCCCAGGCACUCAGAUCGCUCUAGGACGGCUCUCUAGCGCCCCAGUCCGCGGGAGCCCCCUCUCCCCAGGGGGGUCCAGCCGUGUCCUCUGGCGGUGCCCCUUCCCACCAAGACCUCACCCACCGUACCUUUAAGCCGAGGUCCAGCUCCCUCAGCGAGCGCUGGAUCUCUCCGGUGAGGAUGUUCAUCCGCUCACACUCCUGGAAGGCCACGACGAUGUAGGGGCUGUGCUCCUCCACUCUGGCCAUCAGCUCUGGCAUGUUGAACUCGUCUGUCACUCGCUCCAGUAUUUCUUCCAGGAGGACCCUGACCUGGCCCGUAACAGGAAACACAGGGUAAAGAAGGGGCUCUAACUCUCCAGGACUCCAUUCCCCUGCGAUACGGCAGUCAGGACGCCCGUCAGCCACCCCCUCCCCCCCCCCACCCAUACUCUCGCACUGUCUACUCCCUUCAGAGUUUCCAUGAGGCCGCCCUGCAUGUUUCUGUCCUUGGGUCCUGGAAGAAGCAUCCCCAUGCAACACGUGAACCUCCUCCCCAGCCCCACGCUUCCUUUGACCACACAAGCCAUCAGCUAAUUAGACCACGGGAGCCAGGGUGUCUCUCCCGGAAAGUUGGAAAUGAACCACUCAGAUCCUGGGUUGUUUGGGGGCAAGCGCUUGGAGGCUGAGUCUGCCAUUUUGAAGUAAAUGAAUAAGCCCAGGAGGUCUGUCAGCAGAGAAAGAAAAACGGAACAAGUACAGACAUAAUAGAACAUGUGGCCAGCGGAGAGGGAGGGAGGGAGGGGGCCAGAGAGCCGGGCUCCUGGCACACUGUUCUGCCCAUUGUCCCCCUUCUUCUGUAACAGGUCCCCGUCUCCACCUGGGAAAUCCCCUCCUCCCCACUGUUUUGGGGUACAGUCACAGAGCCCAAUCCUCUAAGUAGAGCCCAUGAUCUAAGUAGGCCAACCAGAUUAUCACUCCCAGGAGCACAAAAAUUUGAAUCUCUGGCCCAAGAUUCAGGGGCAGAAAGACCCCAGAGCCACUGGGAUAUCUGUCCUUCCUUCGGUCAGUUCCUUUUGACAGAGUGGGCUAUUUCUUGCCCAUUUCAGCAAAAUUAGUCUCUGUUGCUUACAACCAAAGAGCCUCGGCUGAGUUAAUACCGUUCCGUUACGCAUUACCCACGCGAGUGCAAGCAAGCCAUCUAGGUCUCCAUCUUUUUAUCUAUAAAAAUUUCCAAGAGCGUCUUUCUCCACUCCCCCCCCGCCCCCCCCAACUCCCAGGGGCUGAUGCAGAGAUCAAAUUGAGUGAACUGAUGCAUGUGACAGCAUCUGAAAGCUAUACAGACCUACAGAAAGGGUUAUUAAUAUUCACUCGGCCUUGUAUUGUUAGCACACAAUACAUUCUCUAGGAAAAGAGCUGAUGUCUGAAAAGGGAAAGUAAAACCUUAUCUCCCUGUCACAAAGGGGUCUCUGGUGCUGUCACAGCAAAAAUCAGAACGGAAUUUUACCGGUACCUGAGAGCUGUUGCCAGGGGUAGAAGACGAAUGGCUAAAAUUAUAUCCUAUUUCUAUCGCCGGGGCUGAGCUUGAAGAAACAGCCCUAUAUCGGACAUCAUGCACAAAGAGAUGAAAAGAUAGGCUGGAGGCGCUGUCCCCAAAAUACACCGGACCCAGAGAAAGAGACUUCUCCCAUGUCCUGAUCCGUCCGAGCAGGAUCUGGAGGCCAGGCCUGAGGACGAGCAGGAUUGCUAGGGAAGGGAGCAGGUGCACAGACACGGAGAAGCCCGCGGGCCCCUCCAUGGGAGGAGAGGGUUGCAAGGGAUGGGGUCUGAUUGUUUCCAAAGGGAACGUCUCUGCCUUUUUGUUGUCCUUUUUGAGCAAUCUGUUUCCCAUAAAAAUCUAAGCAUUACAGAUAUUCAUUACAAACAAAACCCUCUCACAAUUCUUCCCUCGGGGCGGGGGGGGGGGGUGGGAAAUCACUGUUAACUGUUACUUUAUGAUUCCUGCAGAUGUCCUUGAUGCAUAUAACCAUCCAUCCAUUAUCCCCCCACGCAUCAGUUUUGUCUGUCUGUCCUGUCUUCACUCCUCGCUCCCUCCUUUCUUUCCAUCUAUCACCAAGGGAGUCCUGUCAUACUUGCUUUUCGUCUUAUAAUAAAUCAUGCACACGCUAUCUUGUUACUAUAUAUGGACUUGCCUUAUUUUUUGUAGCUGUAUAUAUACUGUUACAUAUAUAAUAAAUAGUAUAUAGUAGAUAUUAUUUUGCUGUUUGGGAUGGAUAUCUGGGCUGCUUAUCAUUUGUACGACUGCGGUCAAUCCUGUAAUAAACAAACAUACCAUGAAA